rnacentral:rRNA from 1 species
GGAGGAAAAGAAACUAACAAGGAUUCCCCUAGUAACUGCGAGUGAAGCGGGAAAAGCUCAAAUUUAAAAUCUGGCGGUCUUUUGGCUGUCCGAGUUGUAAUCUAGAGAAGUGUUAUCCGUGCUGGACCGUGUACAAGUCUUCUGGAAUGGAGCGUCAUAGAGGGUGAGAAUCCCGUCUUUGACACGGACUGCCAGUGCUUUGUGAUGCGCUCUCAAAGAGUCGAGUUGUUUGGGAAUGCAGCUCAAAAUGGGUGGUAAAUUCCAUCUAAAGCUAAAUAUUGGCGAGAGACCGAUAGCGAACAAGUACCGUGAGGGAAAGAUGAAAAGAACUUUGGAAAGAGAGUUAAACAGUACGUGAAAUUGCUGAAAGGGAAACGCUUGAAGUCAGUCGCGUUGGCCAGGAAUCAACCUUGCUUCUGCUGGGCGUACUUCCUGGUCGAUGGGUCAGCAUCAAUUUUGACCGUUGGAAAAAGCUCAGGGAAAUGUAGCAUCCUCGGAUGUGUUAUAGUCCUUGUUCGCAUACAACGGUUGGGAUUGAGGUACUCAGCACGCCGCAAGGCCGGGUCUUUGACCACGUACGUGCUUAGGAUGCUGGCAUAAUGGCUUUAAUCGACCCGUCUUGAAACACGGACCAAGGAGUCUAACAUGCCUGCGAGUGUUUGGGUGGAAAACCCGAGCGCGUAAUGAAAGUGAAAGUUGAGAUCCCUGUCGUGGGGAGCAUCGACGCCCGGACCUGACCUUUUGUGACGGCUCCGCGGUAGAGCAUGUAUGUUGGGACCCGAAAGAUGGUGAACUAUGCCUGAAUAGGGUGAAGCCAGAGGAAACUCUGGUGGAGGCUCGUAGCGAUUCUGACGUGCAAAUCGAUCGUCAAAUUUGGGUAUAGGGGCGAAAGACUAAUCGAACCAUCUAGUAGCUGGUCCU